AGUGAACGCUGGCGGUAGGCCUAACACAUGCAAGUCGAACGGCAGCACAGUAAGAGCUUGCUCUUACGGGUGGCGAGUGGCGGACGGGUGAGGAAUACAUCGGUAUCUACUUUUUCGUGGGGGAUAACGUAGGGAAACUUACGCUAAUACCGCAUACGACCUACGGGUGAAAGCAGGGGAUCUUCAGACCUUGCGCGAUUGAAUGAGCCGAUGUCGGAUUAGCUAGUUGGCGGGGUAAAGGCCCACCAAGGCGACGAUCCGUAGCUGGUCUGAGAGGAUGAUCAGCCACACUGGAACUGAGACACGGUCCAGACUCCUACGGGAGGCAGCAGUGGGGAAUAUUGGACAAUGGGCGCAAGCCUGAUCCAGCCAUACCGCGUGGGUGAAGAAGGCCUUCGGGUUGUAAAGCCCUUUUGUUGGGAAAGAAAAGCAGCAGGUUAAUACCCCGCUGUUCUGACGGUACCCAAAGAAUAAGCACCGGCUAACUUCGUG
rnacentral:rRNA from 1 species